AACGAACGCUGGCGGCAUGCCUAACACAUGCAAGUCGAACGAGACCUUCGGGUCUAGUGGCGCACGGGUGCGUAACGCGUGGGAAUCUGCCCUUGGGUUCGGAAUAACAGUUGGAAACGACUGCUAAUACCGGAUGAUGACGUAAGUCCAAAGAUUUAUCGCCCAGGGAUGAGCCCGCGUAGGAUUAGCUAGUUGGUGGGGUAAAGGCCUACCAAGGCGACGAUCCUUAGCUGGUCUGAGAGGAUGAUCAGCCACACUGGGACUGAGACACGGCCCAGACUCCUACGGGAGGGAGCAGUGGGGAAUAUUGGACAAUGGGCGAAAGCCUGAUCCAGCAAUGCCGCGUGAGUGAUGAAGGCCUUAGGGUUGUAAAGCUCUUUUACCCGGGAUGAUAAUGACAGUACCGGGAGAAUAAGCCCCGGCUAACUCCGUG
rnacentral:rRNA from 1 species